rnacentral:misc_RNA from 1 species
AAGUCGUAACAAGGUCUCCGUAGGUGAACCUGCGGAGGGAUCAUUACUGAGUUCGGGGGGCAAUCCCAGUCCCGACCUCCAACCCUUUGUGAACAAAUCUUGUUGCUUCGGGGGCGACCCUGCCGUUCGCGGCAUUCCCCCCGGGAGGUCAUCAAAACACUGCAUUAUUACGUCGGAGUAAAAAGUUAAUUUAAUAAAA